CAGCAGCCGCGGUAAUACGUAGGUGGCAAGCGUUGUCCGGAAUUAUUGGGCGUAAGGGGCUCGCAGGCGGUUUCUUAAGUCUGAUGUGAAAGCCCCCGGCUCAACCGGGGAGGGUCAUUGGAAACUGGGAAACUUGAGUGCAGAAGAGGAGAGUGGAAUUCCACGUGUAGCGGUGAAAUGCGUAGAGAUGUGGAGGAACACCAGUGGCGAAGGCGACUCUCUGGUCUGUAACUGACGCUGAGGAGCGAAAGCGUGGGGAGCGAACAGGAUUAGAUACCCCCGUAGUCCCUGUCUCUUAUAC
rnacentral:rRNA from 1 species